CCACACCCUUUCAUGGUCUAUAAAUAGGACCCUUUGUGUGUCCUAUUCCACACAAUUUGAUAUGCAAAACAUAUCUCAUCCUCUCUUCUAUCCAAAAUCAAAAUCAUUUCGUUUAUUUUGAUUUUCCUUCAUUUCAUUCUUGGAGUACAUAAGCCUAAAUUUGAUUCGUUGUACUUGUGUUUUGGAGUGCUACAAACACAAGUGUAGCCGUUGUAUCUUGAGAGUCGAUUGCCGAAAUCCGUAGGCACCGUUGCGGGGCAAAUUCGACUUAAG
rnacentral:lncRNA from 1 species